rnacentral:rRNA from 1 species
UGGGGAAUUUUCCGCAAUGGGCGCAAGCCUGACGGAGCAACGCCGCGUGAGGGACGAAGGCCUCUGGGCUGCAAACCUCUUUUAUCAAGGAAGAAGAUCUGACGGUACUUGAUGAAUAAGCCACGGCUAAUUCCGUGCCAGCAGCCGCGGUAAUACGGGAGUGGCAAGCGUUAUCCGGAAUUAUUGGGCGUAAAGCGUCCGCAGGCGGCCUUGCAAGUCUGCUGUCAAAGAGUGGAGCUUAACUCCAUAAAGGCAGUGGAAACUGUGAGGCUUGAGUGUGGUAGGGGCAGAGGGAAUUCCCGGUGUAGCGGUGAAAUGCGUAGAUAUCGGGAAGAACACCAGUGGCGAAGGCGCUCUGCUGGGCCAUAACUGACGCUCAUGGACGAAAGCCAGGGGAGCGAAAGGGAUUAGAUACCCCUGUAGUCCUGGCCGUAAACGAUGAACACUAGGUGUCGGGGGAAUCGACCCCCUCGGUGUCGUAGCCAACGCGUUAAGUGUUCCGCCUGGGGAGUACGCACGCAAGUGUG